AGGUGUUCCAGUUUUUGCAUUUAUAAUCCAUUUGGCUUCUUUCAUGCCUGUUUCUGCCUAGUCCUGACAUCCAGACUGAGUAAAGGAUGCUUAUACAUUUGAAAAAUAGAUAUUGCAUAAAACUAAAAUGAAAUUGAACUGAAAAGACAGCAUAACAUCACUCAAUCAAAACAUAAAGGUGAAACUAUAAACUGGAAGCCUAAUUAAGACCUGCUGUUUCCUGAAAUUUCGUGUGCACAGCCCUGGGAAGGAAAGUUGCACUGAGGUUUACAGAAGGGAAUUCACUUGAAGGAAACUUUCUUCUAAUGCCUCAGGUAAAAAAUAUGAAUGACUUAUAACUUGAAAACAGAAACCAAUCUCAGGGUUGUCAUUCAGCUAGACAUUUUGAACUGACAUCUUUGCUAAAUUUAGUGCAUUGUAAGGGGUUAAAAAAGGGCAUAGAUUUUUUUUAAAAGUAUGUAUGUGUACGUAUUUUUUAAAAAAAAACUUGUCCAGUUUACAAAUCUUAACCAAGAAAUAAGAUAUUUCCUUUAGAUAAUGCACUACAUAUUAGGUCAUAAAGGAUCAACUCACAAUUUAUAGUCCCAGUGCAUAGUUCUGUAGCCUGUAAGCUCCGCAGACCCGAAACACUUACUUACUCAGAGAUAACACCCAACACAAAAGUCUCCUUUUUCAUUUCAUGGGUAGAGCCUCAUUAUGUGCUUUCCCAAAGGUGGAGGGUUUAGAGAUUCCUCUUCCCCUUUAUCAUUCUGUAUAGUGUAUUGUCCAGUAGUUCACUGCCACAGAGAUUCUCUAGGUCAUUUCCUGUGGACAUUCUCUUGCCUCAUCAGUGACCCAGACGUGGUCUCUGUUCUGACAAAUGAUAUGGCUCCACCUUGCUGCAUGCCUGCCUCUUCCCAGACCAGGCUAGGCCCUUGCUUUGGAGCUCAAAACUCCAGGCCACAUAAGGGCAGAGCAGCCACGUCGGAGCUGCUCCUGGCACCAAGGAAAAUUAUUUGCCCCGAGAGGCAAACACAGCCCAGGCAGUGUCCAGGGUAUCAAUCCCUCUCUUCUCUGUUAUAAAAGGCCCUAUUGUAGGAACACAAAUCAUUCAGAGAUGGCAUGUACAAUGUCUAAUCACUUAAUAGCCACUGAGCACCCACUGGGUUUGGGCCUCAAACUAGAUGCUGUCUGUCACCUAUUCACUGGAAAAAGGCAGGACAGAAUAUGACACAGAUUUAUAUUCAUCUCCGGUUCUAGUCCAUGACACCAGGGCAAACACACAUCUUUUGAAUGAGCAGACAAUUACAGCCAUAAUAGAGAUGAGAUAUUUUUAUCUCUGAGUAGCAAGAUAAGGGAUAGAACAUAAGCUUGGUGUUUGCAAUGACCUACUUGGAAAUUCUGUUUCUAGAAUUAAUCAGCUGUGUGGCCUUAGGGACCUAACUGAAUCUUCCUGGGAUUCUCCUCCCUUGUUUGCACAAGGAAAAUAACAACAACUAUUUCAUAAGGGUGGGAGGAACUUUAGAAGUACCCAAAGCUGUGCGUAGCACGUAGUAGGCACUCAAUAAUAUUAGCUUCCUUCCCAGUCUCUAGGAUUCUAAAUGCUUGUCAGGAUAUCUUAUAUACCAUAUCUUAUUUGAUCCUUACACGAAUCCUACUCAUGUGUUUUAAUUUCACAGGCAGAAUUUUAGGCCUUUGCAUUUCUUUCUGUUUCCUUUUUGGAAAUGUGAUUGAAAAGAUACACUUGUUUUCUCCAAUUACCUUAGCUCUGCCCCUUGGCAAAUCUUACAAAAUACCUGAAGCUAUAAAAGGGUUAAUUUAUUCCAGUGUUCCAGAUGUCUUCAGCACCUUGACUUUGGUAAUAUACUAAGAACAGUAAGUCUUUUUAAUGAAAGUGAAAGGUAUGCAUUGUACUUCAAUCUGGAACAUUUUCCCCCUGAAGAAACACUGCCACUGGGACUGCAUCCCGCCAUUUUAGACAGGGUGAGAUAUGUUUUUGCUCAGGUUUACACUUUUUCAGCACAUUUUCAAGCAACUGCAGUUGGUAUCCAAGCAGUUAAAACUACAUCAGCACUAAUAGCUAUGAGCUCAUCUUGUAUAAAGACAUUUUUAGUUAAACACCACAAUCUUAGGGGGGAAAAAAGUUAGCGUGCUUAACCAGGCUGGCUUGGAAUAGCUCACAAUAUGACGCAUACCACAGGAAAUAGAGUGGUAUGAGGCACCUACAAAAUAUUUUUCAAACAAGUCAUUGACGCUGUAAGCCCCAUGCCUCAGCUUUAGGAAGUCACUUAUUAAGAAUCAACACCAGCCGUGCCAAGCUAAGCUUUUGCUCUUGGUGAUUUUCCAAUUGAAUAUUCAGGGCCCUGUCUCAGUCUUGUUUUCAGGGAAGUACAUGCCUGGAAUGUUAGCAAGCUAUUUGCUGGAAAAAAUGCCCACAACAGGCCCAAUGUUGAUCACAUUAAUGCGUUUGAGUGGGUAUAGAGUGCAAAUGAUUGAAAAUGCUUCCAGAUCCCCGUUACAGGGGACAAAGCAGGCUCUGUUCUCUGAUCUGAUGGUCAUUUUUUUUCCAGCAGAGGAUGUGGUGCAGGAAGAGGGAAGAGUGCCAAUCUCUGUCUAAUGGUUCCAAAUAGGGCCUGGGCCUAGCUCUUUGGAUGCUGAUGAGUGGGAAAUGAAACACAGAUGGGUCAGCUGGGUAAGGAGAGGGGGAUUACAGGUCAGGCCAAAGAGUUGGAAUAAAUUAAGUGCUUAUGAGGUACAGAAUGGCACAUUGUUUAAGUGAAUGGACAGGGAAAAAACAUUCCAGCAUUGUUUGGUCCAGUGAACGAACCCAACGUUCCCCCUCCCAGACCAACACAGGCUGCAGAGCUCCUCAUCCUCAGGACGUAUGUGAGCAACAAACCAAUAUGUGGCCAGUGGAUGCCUGAAACAUUUUUCUCCACCCUAAGGAAGCCAAUUUUGUUUUAUUACACAUGAGAUGUAAUUUAUUGGAAGAAAUGUUUGGGUUCAUGUGUCAGAUCAUAGAGAGUCAGAUUUGGGGUUCCCCCGGGAUCUCUGAGGAGAAGGUGAGUAACCACAAAUUAAUACAGCAGGGAAAUAAAGUGACAAAAGAAAUGUUUCAUUGUGCUUGAAAUAUUGAACCAAUUUCCCCCUUUUUAGCCUUUUAAACCUUUGCUCACAAAUCAAAGAGUAACUUAAGAAAAUUCAACAGAAGCCCGUAGUGCCUGAUUUAAAAAAAAUGGAAUUCAGUAUAUUCUUCCUUAGUUUUAAGUGUCUACAUACUAUAGGGGAAGAUGAUAAACAUGGCUUUUUGAGAAAAUUAGAAAAUUAUCAAAGUGAUUAGAUAACAACAACAAAAAAAGCAUAGAUAGCAAUAAUAGAACUGUCCAUUUUGGGUUCUAGCUGUGUUAGAGAAACCAUAAAAUCUCAACAUCUGUGUAAGCCCAAUUAUUUAAUAUUAGGUAAUCAUAGGACAAACUGGAUAAAUUGUGUUUUUUUGAGGGCACAAAACCAAUAAAAUGUUAAGGGCAGAAAGUGUCACAUAAAGAAAGAGAGUUAAAGUUUCAGUUGCCAACAAAAUUAGAAGGUUCUAAAGCUUGGAAUUAAUGGUUUAUUUUUUAGUAUGACAGAAAUUAUUUUCAGAAGCUUAUUUUCAUACCAGUCAUGUUUCCAUUUUAUGGACUUGACCUUUACCAGAAUAUCCCACAGGCAAAGCUGGAGACAGUGGUUGUCUGCAGUCAUGGGGAUGCUCAUGCUUCGAGUAUUAAGAACUCCUCAGUUUAUCGGAGGCUGUAUUACAGCUCCAGAGUCAAGGAGGGAGAUCAUCCCAAGAAAUUAGGGUAGAAAGUCUCCAUGGGGAAUAUCUCUAAGAGAUUGGUGAUUUUAAUUGUUAUUAUUAUUGUAAGUUGGUUCAGGGAAUGAUACCAAUUAAUACAUACAUGUCAUCUUGUUUUCCACUUUUAAAUUCUAUUUCAAAACUAAUUGUAAUUUAAAUAUCUUAUCUCUUCCUCCCAAUCUUCUUCCCUCCAAAAUUUCAUUAUGCUGUGCUCUGAGUCUUGGAAAGGAACCCCAAGAAUAAAUAACCAAUUCAUAAAGCAAAUUUGAAAAAUGACUAUGAUAUAAGAGUUGGAGAAAAAAUGAAUACAGAGAAAUUUCUACCUUAUGCUGAGCAAAAACAUAAAACUGUUAUUCAUGGAAAGAAGGACACAGACCCAUCAGAAACUAAUAUCCGGUUGUGGACAUUUGCUGCUUCCUUUCCAAUAAAGUGGAUGAUGUU